AAUAGCUCAGGUAAUGAAAAAAUACAGACAACCUAAUGUUAUAUUGCCAGUCUUAAUUCCCUGAUUCAAUUAUGUUUAAAAUAGGAUACUGCAUCAGAAAACAUCAAAAGAAGUAAUUACGGUGCACACACCAGUGAAUGCUGCUGGUACUCUGCCCAGAUCCCCUUGCCCAGCAGCAGGCACAGGGCCAAGCUGGACCAAUCGACCCUUCCUCACAGAUGCUGUGAAGAAAGACUCAUGGGGCAAAACUGGAGGCAUCUGAAGAGCGUCUCUUGGGGCCAAGACCCACAUGUCCCGGACUUACAGAAAACCUGAUCAUGUGAAGUAAGUAUAUUAGAAGGAGGAUUUUGCACAAAGAGUAAGUGAACUUCGUAUUUUGAUUUUCAUUUCCAAUAGAUAUUUUUAAUACUUGAGUGACUGAGUAAAAAGUUAAAUAUAUAAAUGAUGGCAUGUCCUUAGAAGUCAUGUAUUAUUAUAAGGGUAAAUAAGAA
rnacentral:lncRNA from 1 species